AUUGAACGCUGGCGGCAGGCCUAACACAUGCAAGUCGAGCGAGCGGCGGACGGGUGAGUAAUGUCUGGGAAACUGCCUGAUGGAGGGGGAUAACUACUGGAAACGGUAGCUAAUACCGCAUACCAUCAGAUGUGCCCCGAUGGGAUUAGCUAGUAGGUGGGGUAAAGGCUCACCUAGGCGACAAUCCAUAGCUGGUCUGAGAGGACGACCAGCCACACUGGAACUGCGACACGGUCCCGAAUCCUACGGGAGGCAGGAGUAGGAAAUAUUGCACAAUGGGCGCAAGCCUGAUGCAGCCAUGCCGCGUAUAUGAAGAAGACCUUCGGGUUGUAAAGUACUUUCAGCGGGGAGGCGUUACCCGCAGAAGAAGCACCGGCUAACUCCGUGCCAGCAGCCGCGGUAAUUC
rnacentral:rRNA from 1 species